UAGGGAAUUUUUCACAAUGAGCGAAAGCUUGAUGGAGCAAUGCCGCGUGAACGAUGAAGGUCUUUAAGAUUGUAAAGUUCUUUUAUUUGGGAAGAAUGACUUUAGCAGGUAAUGGCUAGAGUUUGACUGUACCAUUUUGAAUAAGUGACGACUAACUAUGUGCCAGCAGUCGCGGUAAUACAUAGGUCGCAAGCGUUAUCCGGAUUUAUUGGGCGUAAAGCAAGCGCAGGCGGAUUGAAAAGUCUGGUGUUAAAGGCAGCUGCUUAACAGUUGUAUGCAUUGGAAACUAUUAAUCUAGAGUGUGGUAGGGAGUUUUGGAAUUUCAUGUGGAGCGGUGAAAUGCGUAGAUAUAUGAAGGAACACCAGUGGCGAAGGCGAAAACUUAGGCCAUUACCGACGCUUAGGCUUGAAAGUGUGGGGAGCAAAUAGGAUUAGAUACCCUAGUAGUCCACACCGUAAACGAUAGAUACUAGCUGUCGGGGCGAUCCCCUCGGUAGUGAAGUUAACACAUUAAGUAUCUCGCCUGGGUAGUACAUUCGCAAGAAUG
rnacentral:rRNA from 1 species